AAAGAAGUCCUCAGAUCAAGGCCUGUGACUUCCAGUUAUCCCCCCAGGGCAACCAAGUUGUUAGAAGGGGAAGAGGGUAGGCAGGGCAGACUCCCAGGGAGCCCUUAAGGACAUCCCCCUGUAUCUGGUUUCCUGAGGUAGGUAGUGCCUACUGCCUCCUUGCUGCUUCUGUCACAGGCUAGCAGAUCCUGUCUGUUCGGACUCAUCAGCUGCAGCUUCUCCAAACAAGGUUUGUUAGUGGUGACCACAGGUUCAGGGUUCAGCCAACGGAGGUUCCUGUUCCUUUGGUAGACAGUGGAGACAGGAUGGAUGCAAGUUCGGGGUGGCUCGGACUAAGUCUCAACUUCUUCACCAAUGUAAGAGAGAGAUCAAGCUUAACUCUUCCUGACAACCCAGCCUGGAGCGGAUUAAUUAUGUAUGAAGGUAUCUGAGUGGAGGAAGAUGCCCAUCAAUGUUGGUUAAACUUCUAUGUGCCAGCAGCCUCUUCCAGGGACAGAACCCUGGACUCCAGUACCAACUCCAUUGCCCCAUCAAUGGAAGGCAAUCCACUCAGGCACCCAAGCUUCUCUUCAACAAAGGAAAUUAGGAAAUGGCGGUAAAAAUUACAAACUUGGAGAGAGCCAGAAAACAGCUCGUUCCAGUCAUAGAAGAAGUCAGAUAAAUAACAUGUACCAGGCGAGGAAGCUGGUUCUUGGAGAGGUCAAGUUGCCCAAGGUCCCGCUGCCCAUAAGAAGCUGAACUGUUCUUCUCUCCAGAGUCCAAACCAGCCACCACCAGAGUCACAGUCACCUGGGGAUAUUAGAAAUGCAGAUUCCUGCUUCCCACUCCCACCCCUUAGACUUGCUGAGGCAAGUGUGUGGUGUGUAUUUGUGUUUAUAUGUAUGUGUGCAUGUUCAUGUCAGUGCAGGUAUAUGCACAGGUAUGUCUGCCUGAGUGUGGAGACCAGAAGUCAGCCUUGGGUGCUGUUCCUCAGGUACCACUAACCGUUUUCCUUCCAGAGAUGGAGUCUUUCAUUGGCCUGAGAUUCGCCUAGGUAGCUAGGCUGGCCGGCCAACAAGGCUUAGGAUCCACCCACUUUUGCCUCCCCCGGUGCUAGAAUUACAAGCACGCCCCCUUAAAACAAACAAACAAACAAACAAACAAACAAACAAACAAAAACAAACGUGUUCUGGGGAUUGAACUCAGGACCUUGUGCGUGCACUUUAGGGAAUGAGCUCUCUCUCCUGCCCAAGACUCUGUUUUUUUAAUAGCUCUCCAGGUGUUCUCCAGCUGUGGAGAAACUGGGAGGAGUUUACACUCUGCCAUCCUUAGCUCCUCGGCCCCACCAGCAAUCCUCCUGGCUCUUAGUGUAGCCAGUCUUACUAAAUGUGCAAACGGACACUUGCCUACGGCCAGCUUUUGUUCAAAGCCUUUUCUGCCUCUCAACAUCAGAGCGCAUCGGAAGGAAAACACCUACCCAAAAUGAUUUAGAAAUGUUUUCUAUGCCUUGUUGGAGUUCCCUGCAUCCUGAGCUCUCCUCAAACUGGACAGAUCAGUCGUCGGAACAGAUGAUCGGACAAAACUGAGCCAAGCUCCAACUCUGUACCUGUGGAGGUGAAAAGCAGAGGAUGGCUGAUUGUAACCUGGGGAUGCUAUUUUGUUCCUUGCCAAAACCUCUGCACCUCAAACUCGUGUGCCGCCAACAGAUUGAGACCUGGACUCUCCGGGUCCUCUGCCUCAGCUGGUUUUUGCCUUGCCCCGACCCACUUUCUGUGUUCCCCCUGAUAUCCAGAUGGCAGCAGCAGACACUGCAGUAAGGGCGGCUCCAGGCAGCAGCUCCCAGGCCAGCUGCAUAUUUGAUUAACAAGAAAGCUGGGCAGAUGCAUCCUAUCACAGAGGCAGUGAGAAAGCACCCACCAAAUGCCAGCCUGUUUCAGCACUUCCCAGCCCGGGGAAAAUUUUCAUGUUGUCCUGAUGCCUGCCUGGUAAAUGAUCCCGUAAUGACAGCCGUGGUGACUGAACACUGGCUAUGGGUCAGGUAUCCUGAGUUGUAAAACCCUUCGGUGGGGAUAGUGUAUGUUGCCUAAUUCACACGUAAGUAGUCUGAGGCCUAGAGCCGUGGAGUAACUUAUCCAAGGUGACAGAGGUGAGGAGCAGAGAAGACAGGCCCUCUCUACAUAUUCAGCCACCCAUUUUACUAGUGAAAAUCAGAAUGGUAACGUUGAAUUUGGGCCAAGGCUGGUCAGCAGAGGCUUUUAUGCAGUUAGAAUUUACCUUCUAAGCCCCCUAAAAACAUCCAAACAAAGGCUGCUAAUGGUUCACAGCCGUUUAUGGAGCAGACGUACCUUGUGGUAUUUUUCUGUCACGAAUUCUUUUUACUAAUUUACAGUUUUAAGCAUAUUGCACUAAAAAUCCUGGGGAGAUGGCUUGGUUAGUACAGCGCUUGGCACACGAGCAUGAAAAUACUUAAAAGCCAAGUACGGCUUUGUGUCCGUAACUUCCAAGUCUGGGAGGGGACAGGGCAGGGACAGGCAAGUCUCUGGAGCUCAUUAGGUAGCCAGUUUUCCCCAGUCAGUGAGCCCUAGGUUGAGUGAGAGAACCUGUCUCAAAAACAAGGUGGAGACCAACUAAGAAGGACCCCAGCACUGCUCUGUUUGUUUGUUUGUUUGGUUUUCGAGACAGGGUUUCUCUGUGUAGUUUUGGUGCCUGUUCUGGAUCUCACUGUAGACCAGGCUGGCCUCGAACUCACAGAGAUCCGCCUGGCUCUGCGUCCCGAGUGCUAGGAUUAAAGGUGUGCACCACCACCGCCUGGCACCAACACUGAUCUUAGGUCUCUGCGUGCACAUGUACACAUCCACAUCUUUACCUGCACACACAUGCAUUCACAUCUGCAUGUACACACACACACACACACACACACACACACACACACACACACACACACACACACGAGAGCAUGUACUUAUAUCAUAUGCAAAUGCAUGUGUGCAUAUCAUUAGAAUAUUAAUUAUGUUGAUUAUUGAACUUCCUCAUGCUCUCCUCGAUUUGUGCUAGACAAGACUUGCUAGAUCUUGCUGAACCAUACAAGGUGGACACAGAGCAAGCAAAUUAUUACACAUACGUAGAUGGGGACACUGAGACUGAAAGGCGUAUCAGGUUAUAUACCCAAGCUCACACCACAAGUGUCUGGGGCCAGAUUCCACCCGACCUUCUCAGACCCCCAGGCCCCAGAGCAACUAUUCUUUUCUCCUCACAAAGCCUCGUUAGAACCUUUCUCCAGAGUCACUGUAUCCUGUAAUGUAAAGGAGGACUGUGGUUCCAGGUAGACAGCUUGCUCUCUGGACUGUCACACCAGAUAUUUCCUGGAACUCUCCUGCUCUUAACCUACACGGCAGAAUCUGUGGUGUGCAGAGCAUGCUGGCUGAGCUCUGGCCUGCAACAGCCAGGGGAAGGGAAGGAGAGGGCGUCUCAACACAGCACUCUGAGGCCUGAGGGAGAAGCUGUUCUGCCCUCUCUGAGGUUGCACUGAAGGUGUCCAGGUAGCUCUCAACCCCCUCUACCCCCUCUCCCUCCCUCUCUCUUCUGCCCCUCCCUCACACACAGAGCAGCAGCUGCAGCCUGUGAGAGAAGACAAACACCAGCUCUUUGUCUCUUUUGUCAUAGGUUUCCCAGUUACCCUCUGUAAAGCCACAUAAUUUGUUGGAUGGAAAGGGUGUAGACAUUCUGUGAGCUGAUUUGUUUUUCUUCUGUUUGGGGCCUCAGCUGGGUGUUUAAUGUUUCCUAGGAUACCACAGGCUGUGGGGAGACUGGAAAGAGGCCUAGCUUCUGGCCCAUCCCUUACUGGGUUCCAUGUCUUGGCUCUGGCUGAGGGUCAGAGGAGUCCAGGGCUCUCUGCAGGGGACAGUUUUAUUCAAGGCAGGAGCUUGGAGUGUCUUAAAAACAGCAGAUGAUUGCUAGAGCACUGGCAGCUUAGGAUUGCUUCAGAGACUCAAACACAGGAUCUGGUAGCCACCUUUGUCCAAAGUAUAAGCCGUUCUCCAAGGAUGAUGGAGGAUUUCAUCCCCAGCACAUGGCAUCUUUUGAUCUGAUGACCUGGGGUCUCUUUCAGGAGGCUUGGUCACCUUCUCCAAGGAUGAUGACACCUCAGCUCCAGAUAUAUUGGCAUUACAAGGCUCUAGAGGUCCAGUAGUUGGUGGACUUCUGUCUCCACCUUGAGUACAGGCUCAAGCUGGGAGGUCUUUCAUGGACAUCGUAUCAAACUUCCCAUUGCUUCUCACCCUUGAAACACAAAGUCUGAAGGAUGUGUUGGUUCUGCUGAUAUAAUGGUCAACCCAGGAGGACCGGCCUGAAUAUUUAAGAAAACAGUUGAAAUAACAUUGAGAUGAGAUGUCAUUUGGCUGUGUAUAGUCAUCUACUGACACAUAAUAAGUCACCCCAGAAGUGAAAAGAGACAUAUAUUUAUGAUCUCAUGGUUAGUGUCAAUGGGGAAUCCAGACACAGUUUAGCCAGAACUUCUGUCUCAGAUAUCUCAACAGCUGAAACCAAGGUGGCAGCCUCAUCUGAAGACUUCAUUGGAAAAUUUCCAAAGUCAUGUGACAUUUAGUCAGAUUCCAUUUCCAACUGUUGUUGGAACAGAUUGCCCACAGCUCCUUGCUAGAUAGUCCUGUCCUUCAGACAAAUAUAAUUCAAGAAGAGAGAGAAAAUACCAGCCACUCAAAGGUCAUGGUCUUUUAACUUAAUUAUGAAGAGAUAAACCAACAUGUUUGUCAUAUUCUACUGAAUCAUGAGUCCAUCCUACAUCCAAGGAGAAGGACAUGCACAAUGGCAUGCAUAUUAGGAGCUGGGAAUCACCAAUGGGUCAUGUCAGCCUCUACCUACUGUAACCUGUUAGGAGUGAGCAGACCACAUCUAAAAACUGUAGUCCAUCUUUUGGGGGAACCCCCAAACACUUGCAGUGUUUAUCCUUGGGUAGCCCUGCUAGACAGUUCAUGACAUUGGCCAUAAUGAGUUGGACUAUGGUGGAAUGACUGAACAAAAAGGAAGCUGAUGGCUUUGCCCUAACAGGUCUCAUUCCUUGGAAUGCUUUAGUGAUGAGUUCAGAGAAAGACAUGGAACAUUUGUUUGUUUAAAAAAAAUGUUCAUGGCAUUGGGUAGAUGACAUCCACACAGAUGACAUCCACCGGUAUGCUCCUUGUCUUUAUGCAGUAGAAUAGGAAAAAGUGUUAUUCCACACAGAGCAAAGGCAAUAGGCGAUGGCAAGGAAGGCCAUGAUCAAGGAAGGCCAGCAGUCACCAUAAGAAAGCAUUAGUUUUAAGGAAGAGUGUUGUGGGAUAAUCCUUUGGUACGAGUAAAGACAAAUUCAGACAGAAAAAAAAAACCUAUAAAUGGGUUACAGUAUAUUUAAAUAUAUAUAGGCUUGGAAGAGAGGGGGAAAAGAAUAUAUACAGUCUUAGAUUAAAAAAUAUAGUUUUAAAAUAAAGCCCUUAAAAAAGGAAUAGAGUGAUUAAAAAACACAAUAAGCCUCAUAAAAAUGAAAUAUACACAGAGAAUCUGGAUACUGUAUGUUAUUGUGUUAUCUUUAAAUUUUUUGGCUCCUAAGAGACACUAAAUUAUAAAAAACUGAUAGAUUAAACCAACCUAUACAUUUUAAAAAUACCUUGACUUCAAAAUUUAAGUCAAAAGAUAUUUUACUUUGGGAGUGAGGUUAUAUAUUUAUUUCCUCAAGAAAUGAGAGGCUAUGGAUUGAUUCUGGGUUAAAGAAAAUCAGGUUUAUCAAGGAAGACCCCCUGAAAUUCUGACUAAAGACAUGGAAAAAUAAACCUAAAGGAACUACAAGACAUGUGAUGUAUAUUUUACCUGCUCAAACACAUAACAAAAAAUCAUCUUUGGCUAACUUUUGUACAAUGCAGAGUCUACAUUUUAUUAAUACAGAUACGUAUGUUACCUUUAAAAGUUUGUGUAUUUCAGAGCAAGAGGAUCAGACAUGAAUAAAAUGGCCCAGAUGAUCCAGCAUCCACAACAGCUUCAAGGCUGCUGACUGAGAUGAUCCAACCUCACAAAAUACUCCAGCCAAGACUUAGUAAUUAUCCUGAUUUUCUCAGGGUCCCCCAAAGAUUGCCAGCACCCCAGUCAACAGGAAGUAGUUUAGAAAACUACGCCCACAUUCCCAAAAUGUUUGUUUUGGUUAUAAAUGUUUGUUUUCAUUUAAGAAGAAUUGGUUACAAAUUGUUAUUGGUCAUAAUUUUAAAAAAAAGGCUAAGCCGGGCAGUGGUGGCGCCCGCCUUUAAUCCCAGAUUAAAGGAGGCAGAGCCAGGCUGAUCUCUGUGAGUUCGAGGCCAGCCUGGGCUACCAAGUGAG